ACGGGUGAGUAACGCGUAGGAAUAUACCUUAAAGAGGGGGAUAACUUGGGGAAACUCAAGCUAAUACCGCAUAAUAUCUGAGGAUCAAAGUUGGGGACCUUCGGGCCUGGCGCUUUAAGAAUAGCCUGCGUCUGAUUAGCUAGUUGGUAGGGUAAAGGCCUACCAAGGCGACGAUCAGUAGCUGGUCUGAGAGGAUGAUCAGCCACACUGGGAUUGAGACACGGCCCAGACUCCUACGGGAGGCAGCAGUGGGGAAUAUUGGACAAUGGGGGCAACCCUGAUCCAGCAAUGCCGCGUGUGUGAAGAAGGCCUGAGGGUUGUAAAGCACUUUCAGUGGGGAGGAGGGUUGACAGGUUAAGAGCUAGUUAACUGGACGUUACCCACAGAAGAAGCACCGGCUAACUCCGUGCCAGCAGCCGCGGUAAUACGGAGGGUGCAAGCGUUAAUCGGAAUUACUGGGCGUAAAGGGUGCGUAGGUGGUUGUAUAAGUUAUCUGUGAAAUCCCUGGGCUUAACCUGGGCAGGUCAGAUAAGACUGUAUGACUCGAGUAUGGGAGAGGGUAGUGGAAUUUCCGGUGU
rnacentral:rRNA from 1 species